CUUUUGUAUAAUGGACCGACGAGUUAAUUUUAUUAGCAAGCUUAAAAAAUAGUAGGCGUUAAUAAUAUGUAAAAAGUUAAUAGAAUUAGACCCGAAACUUUGUGAUCUAACUAUGAACAAGCGAUAGGCUGAACCGGUAAAUGUUGCAAAAUUUUCGGAUGAUUUGUGGUUAGGGGUGAAAGAUUUAUCAAACAAAGAGAUAGCUGGUUUUCCGCGAAAAUUAUUUAAGUAAUGCGUUUAAAUAAAAAAAAAAAGACAAUUAGUUUUAAACUGUCGAUUGGUAGGCACUUAAAAAAUUUAAUAAUAUUUUUUUUUUAAAUAAACAGUUAGUCUAUCAGCGCAAAGGUUGAUAGACGAGAGGGACACAGCCCAGAUUAUUUAUUAAGGUUCAAAAGUAUUUAUUAAUACAAAAGAUAAAAAUUUAUAAAAUUAAAAAGGUCGGCGUGGAGGCUGUCAUCCUUUCAAAAAAGCGUCACAGCUUAUUUAAUAAAAAUAAAUUUUUAUUAACAAUUUUGAUAUAAAUAAAUCACCGAAAUAAUAAAUUAAUGGUAGCGGAAUGUUUUGUAUAUCAUAAAAGUAAUAUUGAAAAAUAUUAUGGAGAUAUCAAAAGUAAGUAUGUCGGUAUUAGUAAUCAUAUAAUGUUGAAUCAUUGUUGUUGAAUGUCUAAGAGUUUUAAUGAAAGAAUGAAUCUCAUUAAGUUAUACGAUCCCUAAGAAGAAAAUUAAAAUUUUAUUUGAUGGAGGUUCUGAUUUGACAUUUUUGAAAAAAAUCAAGAAAUAAAUCAGAAUUUUAUCGUAUUAAAUCUGACACUAGUAGACAGGUUGAAUAAACUAAAACAACGAGAGAAUAAUAUUGAAGGAACUCGGCAAAUUUAUUCUGUAACUUCGGGAAAAAGAAUACUUUUUUAUAAUAAAAUAUAAGAAAGUGACAUUAAAGAGAGGGCGACGACUGUUUAAUAAAAACACAGGACUUUGCUAAUUCGAAAGAAGACGUAUAAGGUCUGACUCCUGCCCGGUGCUGCAAAAUGAAAAAAUUAAUCUUUUUUAAUUAUAAAUUCCAGUAAACGGCGGCUGUAACUCUGACGGUCCUAAGGUAGCGAAGUUCCUUGGCGGGUAAGUUCCGUCCUGCAUGAAUGGAGUAACGAUUGUCCUACUGUCUCCAAUAUUAUCUUGAUGAAAUUGAAUUGGUUGUGAAGAUGCAAUUAUAUACAAUUAGACGGAAAGACCCUAUGCACCUUUACUAUAGU
rnacentral:rRNA from 1 species